CGCCCCCUUCUCCUUCCUUCCCCCCUCCCUCCCGGAAACUUCCCACGAGGAAGGGAAAACGCGGCCCCCUUUGUCCUUCCUCGGGGGCGCUCCUUGCCCUAACCUAGGUCUUUUCCUCUAGGCCGCGCCCCUGGCUCUCCUCCCCAGCCGGGGAGGAACCUUCACAACAGCCCUGCAAGGAGGAGAAGGAGGAGGAGGUGAGAAGGAAGCAAAAGUGGCCGCUGCACUUCCUCCUCCCUGGCAACAGCAGACUUCUUUCCAUGGCUUGGUUACAAGGGGCAUUUCUCACUCAGGGUUAAGAUGGGCCUCCUGGCCUCCCAAAAGGCGGGCGACGCCGGGUGUCCCAGGGCCAGGGAGACCCGAGAGCCCGGCCUCCUCCUCUUCCUCCAAAGCGGACGCCAACGCCGCCGAGAGAGUGGUCGAUUAAUAAACGCAUAAACAAGCGGGCUGGUGUUGUAACCCCGAGGGUGAUGCAAUCCUGUGUAAGAAAUUGAUACUCGCGGCAGCUGCUCCAAUGGUGCUGGAAGAAUCGGAGGCAU